UGCCAGCCGCCGCGGUAAUACGAAGGGGGCUAGCGUUGUUCGGAAUUACUGGGCGUAAAGCGCACGUAGGCGGACUGUUUAGUCAGAGGUGAAAUCCCGGGGCUCAACCCCGGAACUGCCUUUGAUACUGGCAGUCUAGAGACUGGAAGAGGUGAGUGGAAUUCCGAGUGUAGAGGUGAAAUUCGUAGAUAUUCGGAGGAACACCAGAGGCGAAGGCGGCUCACUGGCUCGAUACUGACGCUGAGGUGCGAAAGCGUGGGGAGCAAACAGGAUUAGAUA
rnacentral:rRNA from 1 species